ensembl:lncRNA
AGCAGGAUGAUCAGCCACACAUUGAUGAUCAUUAAUAGACUGGAGACUGUCAGCAAGGAAUUUAGCGCACAAUUGGCGUGUGUUGCUGAAAAUGGCAUCUCCCCCUGCACGGCCCCUGCUUUACCUAGUAGCGUGACCAUGAAGCAAUGAACGAGCAGAGAGAUCUUAACAUGCACAGAGUCAGUCUGCUGCUCUAGACGCUUGCUCAUCUCACCAGCAGGAGCACGUAUAGCGUGCACUUAAAGAAACAAGAUCUCAUUCAGAUCAGCCAGAUGUUUCUUUCAGUCCCACAGUGCUGUUUUAUACAUUCGAGCUUCCAGCAACCAGAUGCACUUCAUGGCGAUAGAUAAAGAAAUUCCCAUGCGCCAGGAGUUAAAUAGUCCAACAAGUUAGAGCAUUGUCUACAAUUUCAAGAUGCUCUCGGAGGAAGUAAACAAGCAGACAUGCAGACGUGAAAAUAAGAACCCUCUUCUUCCCCUCCUUCCAUGUGACUGCAGAGGCAUAUGACUUCCAUAACUUCAUCGCUUAUUAACCGCUGAUGGGAGGACACAAUUGAAUGAGUGUUUGUAGAACUUGCCCUAGAUAUUUAGAUCUCAGUCCUUGGCUGUGGCUGUUGGGCAGAUCUUCUCCUGUUUCAGAUAGCUUCACCCUGCCUGACAACAGACCGUGAGGAACUUCACAUGAGAGUCCCAUGUAAGGAGUGAACUAUGGGAUACAAAGGCCAGUUAUGAUCAUUUAAAUCCUUUAGCAAGCACCACAGAAAAACAAAAGACAGAUUAGCAUGAUUUACCAUGCCGGUGUUAUUAAAUUACAUCAUCUAGCCUACAUAUGAGCCAACACAACUGAUAUACAGACAGUGUGCAGAUGUGCGCAGACAGUGGAAUAUCUAUAUGUAAGCACUGUGUAUUCUUUGUCUAUUAAUGAUUUGGUACACCAGGCUUUGUAAGGUCUUGAAUAGAGCUAGUAUUGAUAAGACCAAAAAUACAUAUAGGAAAUAGGCCUAGGCUAUCUUUAAAAAACAAUCUUCACUAUUAGCAUUAAGGGUAUGCAUGAACGACUUUAGUCAUUGUCUGGGCCUGACAUGGAUGUCGUUUAAAAAGUAAUGCAUUUAUAAAAUAUAUAAUUAAAAUAGUUUUUAUAUUAUGUUGUAUAUUUUAAAAUAACGCUGAUUGCUCUGAAACAAUAAAGUGAAAACGAACAAAGGCCUAUUAUUUUCUGUGGUUCGUGUGUAAAUAAAAACUGAUGGUAUGAUG